CUUGAUCUGCUGCUUCUCCCUCUUGGCGAAUUGCUUGGAUUCCUUGCAGGGGGUGAGACCGGAGAUGUCGGCGACGGCGGGGAGAGGAGCGGAGAGGAGGAUGGAGGAGAGAGCCAAGGCAGCGGAGAAGGCUUGAAGAGAGGAAGAGGUGUUUUGGUUUUGAUUUUGGGAGGCGGAGCAGAGAAUAGAUGAGGAGGGUUUUGGCUUCAAGGCGAGUGGGGAGCUAAAUUUGGGCUUCAAGAGGGGUUUUGAGAGGUUAGUGGGGAUUGUGAGAGACAUUGUUGAAAUGGGUUCGAAGGAAUUGGGAAUUGCAGGAAGAAGAAGAUGGAGAUUUGGAGAAAGAGUGUGGAGGGAACGGUUUUAGAUUC
rnacentral:lncRNA from 1 species